AUGUACCCACUCCUCUACUCCGAAGAACGGGGCAAGUUUGACUACAUGGAUAACCAUGUCGUCGGUGAGAAGAUCGUCGUCUGUGAAACGGAUACUACCCGGGAGAACAUCGACAACAUAAUGAGUGCCGGUGCGGCCGGCGUAGUGCUAUUGAACGGUGAAUCCAACGGAUACACGAUUGAGCUUGAGGAUUACAACUCCAGUGUGGUGCAGUUGAGCACGGACGAUGGCGCCAUCCUCAGAGCUUACGCGACAUCGACAAACAGCUCGGCGGGUGCCAUUUUCUCAUACCACAACACACUGCUUGGUGUCCAUCCGGCCCCUGUGGUGGCAUCGUUCUCUUCCCGAGGUCCAAGCAUCGACAUCCCCGGCGUGCUCAAACCAGACAUAUUGGCGCCGGGGCUCAACAUCCUUGCCGCAUGGCCGCCGGGAACGGACUCUAUACUAGGCCCUUUCAACAUCUUGUCCGGCACAUCGAUGGCAACACCACACAUUAGUGGCGUCGCCGCGCUUAUCAAGAGCUUGCAUCCAGACUGGUCCCCGGCCGCCGUCAAGUCGGCCAUCUUGACGACAGCGGAUGCUGUUAACAGCACUGGCGGCUCGAUCUUGGACGAGAAUCACAACAAAGCCGACGCGUACGCGAAAGGCGCUCUCGGUGAAUCCGGCGAGAGCCGCCGACCCUGGCCUGGUGUAUGA
rnacentral:rRNA from 1 species